rnacentral:rRNA from 1 species
CCCCUAGACGUUCUGGGCUGCACGCGCGCUACAAUAAUACGCACAGCGAGUAUCACUGAGCUCGAAAGGGCAAGGUAAACAAUAGAAAAGGUACUGUAAUGGUUAUAGAUCCUUGUAAUUAUUGAUCUUCAACGAGGAAUUCCUAGUAAGUAUGUGUCAUCAUCACGCACUGAUUACGUCCCUGCCCUUUGUACACACCGCCCGUCGCUCCUACCGAUUGGGUGAGCCGAUGAAACUCUCGGAUGUAGGCUAUUCAUAGCCCGCAGAAGAGAUUUGAAUCGUAGCGCUUAGAGGAAGGAGAAGUCGUAACA